rnacentral:rRNA from 1 species
GAUGAACGCUGGCGGCGUGCCUAAUACAUGCAAGUCGAGCGAACAGACGAGGAGCUUGCUCCUCUGACGUUAGCGGCGGACGGGUGAGUAACACGUGGAUAACCUACCUAUAAGACUGGGAUAACUUCGGGAAACCGGAGCUAAUACCGGAUAAUAUAUUGAACCGCAUGGUUCAAUAGUGAAAGACGGUUUUGCUGUCACUUAUAGAUGGAUCCGCGCCGCAUUAGCUAGUUGGUAAGGUAACGGCUUACCAAGGCAACGAUGCGUAGCAGACCUGAGGGGGUGAUCGGCCACACUGGAACUGAGACACGGUCCAGACUCCUACGGGAGGCAGCAGUAGGGAAUCUUCCGCAAUGGGCGAAAGCCUGACGGAGCAACGCCGCGUGAGUGAUGAAGGUCUUCGGAUCGUAAAACUCUGUUAUUAGGGAAGAACAAAUGUGUAAGUAACUAUGCACGUCUUGACGGUACCUAAUCAGAAAGCCACGGCUAACUACGUG